rnacentral:rRNA from 1 species
UACGUAGGGUGCAAGCGUUGUCCGGAAUUAUUGGGCGUAAAGAGCUCGUAGGCGGCCUGUCGCGUCGGAUGUGAAAGCCCGGGGCUUAACCCCGGGUCUGCAUUCGAUACGGGCAGGCUAGAGUUCGGUAGGGGAGAGCGGAAUUCCUGGUGUAGCGGUGAAAUGCGCAGAUAUCAGGAGGAACACCGGUGGCGAAGGCGGAUCUCUGGGCCGAUACUGACGCUGAGGCACGAAAGCGUGGGGAGCAAACAGG